rnacentral:rRNA from 1 species
GUCGAGAAUCUUUCACAAUGGGGGCAACCCUGAUGGAGCGACGCCGCGUGGAGGAUAAGGUCUUCGGAUUGUAAACUCCUGUCAUCGGGGAGUAAGACCUGGCGGUAAAUAGCCGACAGGGUUGAUAGUACCCGAAGAGGAAGGGACGGCUAACUUCGUGCCAGCAGCCGCGGUAAUACGAAGGUCCCAAGCGUUGUUCGGAAUCACUGGGCGUAAAGGGAGCGUAGGCGGCGUGGUAAGCCAGAUGUGAAAUCCCGGGGCUCAACCCCGGAACUGCAGCCGAUACUGCCAUGCUUGAGGGUUGGAGAGGUAGCUGGAAUUCUCGGUGUAGCAGUGAAAUGCGUGGAUGUCGAGAGGAACACUCGUGGCGAAGGCGAGUUACUGGACAGCAUCUGACGCUGAGGCACGAAGGCCAGGGGAGCGAAAGGGAUUAGAAACCCCUGUAGUCC